rnacentral:rRNA from 1 species
GACGAACGCUGGCGGCGUGCUUAACACAUGCAAGUCGAACGGAAAGGCCCUGCUUUUGUGGGGUGCUCGAGUGGCGAACGGGUGAGUAACACGUGAGUAACCUGCCCUUGACUUUGGGAUAACUUCAGGAAACUGGGGCUAAUACCGGAUAGGAGCUCCUGCUGCAUGGUGGGGGUUGGAAAGUUUCGACGGUUGGGGAUGGACUCGCGGCUUAUCAGCUUGUUGGUGGGGUAGUGGCUUACCAAGGCUUUGACGGGUAGCCGGCCUGAGGGGGUGACCGGCCAAAUGGGGACGGGGAAACGGCCAAGACCCCUACGGGAGGCAGGGGGGGGGAAUAUGGCACAAGGGGCGGAGGCCGGAUGCAGCAACCCCGGGGGGGGGAGGGCGGCUUUGGGGUGGAAAACCGGUUUCCCCUGUGACGAAGGGUGAGUGACGGAAAUGGGUAAAGAAGCACCGGCUAACUACGU